GAUGAACGCUGGCGGCGUGCCUAACACAUGCAAGUCGAACGAGAAGUGAAGACGGAACCCUUCCUGAGGAAGGCGUUAUUUCGAGUGGUGAACGGGUGAGUAACGCGUGGGUAACCUGCCUUAUACAGGGGGAUAACAGUUGGAAACGACUGAUAAUACUGCAUAAGACCACAGCACCGCAUGGUGCGGUGGUGAAGUCACUGAUAGUAUGAGAGGGACUGGAGUUCCAUUUGCCAGAUGGCAGGGUAACGGGCCACCAAAGCGACGAGCGACAGCCGAUGUGUGAGAAUGGCCCGACACACUGAGAGUGGGCCACGGUAGGAACUCCUACGGGAAGCAGCAAUGGGGAAUAUUGCACAGUCGGGGGAAUCAUGAUGCAGCGCGGACGGGUGAGUGAAGUAGUAUUGCGGUAUGUAAAGCUCAAUUAGCUGGGAAGAAAAUGACGGUACCUAAGCAGAAAGCCCCGGCUAACUACGUG
rnacentral:rRNA from 1 species